UACGUAGGGGGCAAGCGUUGUCCGGAAUCAUUGGGCGUAAAGCGCGCGUAGGCGGCCCGAUAAGUCCGUUGUGAAAGUCAAAGGCUCAACCUUUGAACGCCGAUGGAUACUGCCGGGCUAGAGUCCGGAAGAGGCGAGUGGAAUUCCUGGUGUAGCGGUGGAAUGCGCAGAUAUCAGGAGGAACACCAAUAGCGAAGGCAGCUCGCUGGGACGGUACUGACGCUGAGGCGCGAAAGCAUGGGGAGCGAACAGG
rnacentral:rRNA from 1 species